GUGUCAGCAGCCGCGGUAAUACGGAGGAUGCAAGCGCUAUCCGGAAUCAUUGGGCGUAAAGAGUCCGUAGGUGGCACUUCAAGUCUGCUUUCAAAGACCGAAGCUCAACUUCGGAAAGGGAGUGGGAACUGAAGAGCUAGAGUAUAGUAGGGGUAGAGGGAAUUCCUAGUGUAGCGGUGAAAUGCUUAGAGAUUAGGAAGAACACCAGUGGCGAAGGCGCUCUACUGGGCAUAUACUGACACUGAGGGACGAAAGCUAGGGGAGCGAAAGGGAUUAGAUACCCCUGUGUCCUAGCGGUAAACGAUGGAUACUAGGCGUAGUGCUGUUAGAAGGACUGUGCCGAAGCUAACGCGUUAAGUGGCCCGCCUGGGGAGUACGCACGCAAGUGUGAAACUCAAAGGAAUUGGCGGGG
rnacentral:rRNA from 1 species